GGCAGAUGCUAUAGUCCCAGCUACUCAGGAGGCUGAAGCAGGAGAAUCACUGGAAGCUGGGAAGCGGAGGUUGCAGUGAGCCGAGAUUGUGCCACUGCACUCCAGCCUGGGCAACAGAGUGAGUGAGACUUGGUCUAAAACAAAAACAAAAACCCAAAAAUGUAAUUAAAAAAAACCAUUGUUCCCUCAUGGGCCACACAAAAAGAGGCAGCCAGCUGGCUUUGGCUCCUGGGAUGUAGCUGCUGACCCAGCUGCAGUGCAGACCAGCGCCGUCCAGCAGCCCCUUCCGUAACGAUGGAAAUGCUUCUGUCUGCACCGUGACCACUGCACAGUUGAAAUGUAGUUAGUGUGACUGAAGAACUGAAUUUUUCAUGUUAUUUCAUUUCAAUUAAUUUAAAUUGAAAUAGGCACAUGUGGCUAGUGUCUAAUCACAGCUUUAAACCUUCUGUCCACUUCCUCUAGCCCUCAUAGAUUAUGUUUCUACAGUUUACUGCCUUCAAGAGCUUCUGUCUUACGAACUUGGCAAACAUAGACAAGUUUUGAAGAUUUUGUUUUCGUUGAUUCCUUUGGUCUGCAUUUAUUUUCUUCUUUUCUAGUUUUCUACAAUAUUCCCAGCCUGCCUGUUUCAUUGUAAUGCUAAAUUCCUAACUGUGCAGAGACAGAUGCCCCAAGGAGCCACAACAAACUGAAACUGGUACUACAGGGUUUUUAAUUUUUUUUUUCUUUUAGAGACAGGAUCUCGUUCUGUUACCCAGGCUGGAGUGCAGUGGCCUGAUCACGGCUCAGUGUAGCCUCUACCUUCUAGGCUCAAGCAAUCCUCCCACUUCAGCCUCCUGAGUAGCUGGGACUACAGGCAUGCACUACUAUGCCCAGCUAACUUUUUUAUUUUUUAUAGAGACGGGGUCGCACUACAUUGCCCAGGCUGGUCUUGAACUUUAGGCAUCUAGCAGUCCUCCCAUCUUGACCUCUCAAAGGGCCAGGCAUGAGCCACCAUGUCCAGGAGGAUAUUUUAAAUUUGAAGAAAACACACAACACUCAACAUUAUCAGACUGUGCAUGAACUACCAGUUCGAUCUACUUCUAGCUCAGAUCUAUCCAACCAUUCGCAUAGUACUACUAGCCCACAGCUUCAUCACUAGCUAGUGCUUCAUUCCUUUCAAUGACAUCAUACCUUUGCGAUGUCGACUUUUCAACAGUUGCAGUGAUAAAAAGCCAGAAAAGUGCCUGAAAACCAACAUAGAACAUUGAACAGUGUCCAAUCUGAGGCCUAAAUUCCUUAAAGUAUGACUUUUAUCCCUUUCUUUCUUGCUCCCUCAAAAACUGUAACUCUCUAUUUUUCUAAUCUACGGAGUUCAACAACUUGCUUUACAAAACUUCCAAUACCAGUUAGUCCAGACAAGAACUAAGCAACGUUUCCCUGCCAAAAUCUGGCUAAGGUAAGAUUAUGUAAAAACCUUACGGAAGUACUUGUCAAAUGUAAACAGGGCUUCCCUAACUCACCAUCAGGAGUAUCUUUGUUUAUUUUUAGUAUCUUCAGAGGAAGUUUUUAUUUUACUUUAUUUAUUUAUUUCUUUAUUUAUUAAGAGCCAGGGUCUCACUUUGUUACCCAGGCUGGAGUACAGUGGCAAGAUCAUAGCUCACUGCAGCCUGGGCUCAAGCAAUCCUCCACACUCAGCCUCCCGAGUAGCUGGGACCACAGGCGUGCACCCAGCUAAUUUUUUUUGUAUUUUUUGUAGAGAUGGGGUCCCAUUAUGUGGCCCAGGCUGGUCUCGAACUCCUGGGCUCAAGCAAUCCACCUGCCUCGGCCUCCCAAAGUGUGGGAUUACAGGCAUGAGCCACCACACCGGGCAAUUUAUUUCUGCUUUUCGAAAAAAUGGGAAGAAGCAUGGUUUUGAUAUUUGAUCAAAGGUCUCCCCACUAGGCAAUAAGAGUCCAUUAUAUAUGAUCAUCCCUCCCAGCCAACCAGCAGCCCUUUCUCCCCAUACGUGCAGUCACAGGAAGUUUAAGGAGUGACCUGUGAUCUUUAUGAUGUUCCUUUCAACUCCCAGGGUGCUCUGGUGUCUGGCUGCUCCCUGCAUAGAAAACCAUUAACAUUUUUUCCAUUUUGAUCAUGGAGAAAAGCUGGGAAGCACAGCAAGUGCCCACAGGAAUAAAAUAUACAGUCUGUGCCUUGCUUUUUCCUCUGUGUCACCUAGAACCGGAGAUCCAGGCUGGAAGCUGCGCAAGGGGCCACCCCGUCCAUUCCUCUGCCGAUGAUCAAAGCAGCUCAAGGGCUUUGUCCAGCUUCAUGGGGAAAUCUCUACAAUAGGGCUGCCAUCGCCUCCGACCCCCAUCUCAAAGAGUGGGCCACAGACAAACACACUCCACCACUGGAGAACCCACUAUGGGUCCAGCAAUAUUCUAGGUGCUAGAGAUAUGAAGACAAGCAAGCCCCAGUCCUUGUCCUCAAGUAACUCAAAGAAGAGGAGUUCACAGCCCUUUACAGAAGGGACCUCCACCAGCCUCACCACACCUCUGUGCUCUCCACCAGCCAGACUGCGCUAUCAGCCCACAUUCCAACUCCAGAGCCACUGCACAGAAUAAACCAAGGCUGGAUUCCUGGAGACAAUGUGGACUGAAUGCCACGUAUAAGCCAGAGAGUUCUGUGCUCUGAAGGAAGAUGACACUCAGCUUUCGGGUAACCCCAGAUCUCAGGAAUCAAGUCUCCAGUGAAGCACAGGUACCCUUUGCUCCCAAGAGCUCCUGGCUGCAGUUUGAGGCUUGCUUUGGAGAUUAAUGGUCUCCUCACUCGGCACUCUCCGCCUCAUUUAGUAAUCAGUGUAUCCUGUGAAAACACAAACAAGUGAAGCUCCUGCUCUUAAGAGGUCAACCCAGGGAAGGGGAGAUGAGGUCAGACUGCUCUCAGGCAGGGAAGUCAGGAGGACUUUUGCUCAGUCUUGGCACAGACGCUUCACAUCCAGAACAGAACAGAGGGCCUCCAUCAGGCAACCGUGAACUCUGACCCACCUGCCCUCAGCAAAUGUGCCCGGUGUGACAAAGUAACUAUGUCAUAAGGUUUGAGAAACAAAUGUGUUCUGUUUAUGCCUCUCCUGGUAAGAGGACAGAUGGAGUGGGAGGAAAGGGGCAGGAGGUGAGCACAGGUGUCUCCAGGUAUACUUACCUGGAGGUUCCACCCUCUGCAGUUUUCUCCCCUCCGUCUCUAUUAUUUAUUUUAUCUCAAAGUCAGCCGGAAGCCAGAGCGUCUGGAGGAUUUCACUUGGCUGCCAUGAGACUGCCCGCGUACCCCCUCGCAGUUGCCCAGGACGUACAAGCACUGAUAGUCACAUGGCCUUUAAAAGGCACCUCCUGCAUCUAGGGGCUUGCUUUUGCCUGGAGCCAAAGCCACUUUGAUGAUAUAAAAACGCCCAGGAGGUCCUGUGGGUCAAGGUCUCAAAUGGGAUGGAAGAAAGAACAAGAAGAGAUGCUGCAGUCCAAACGAGCAGACCAUGAGGUGCACCGCGACCAUCAGCCGCGGGGCUGCAGCAAGCUAUUUAUGGCCACCCCCCAUCCCCACGUAGUCGCUUUAGUACCAGUCACGCUGCACAGGGGCCUUUCAGUCAAUGAGGGACUGCAUAAAUGAAAGUGGUCCCAUAGGAUUCUAAUAUCAUAUUUUCACCUUUUCUAUAUUUAGAUAAACAAGUACUUGCCACUGUGUUCCAGAUGCCUACAGCAUUCAGUAUAGUAACCUGCUGUAAGGUUUGUAGCCUAGAGUGAUAGGUACCAUCUAGCCUGGGUAUAGUAGGCUAUGCCAUCUAGGUUUGUGUAAGUUCACUCUGUGAUGUUCUCACAAUGCAGGAGGAAAGGGGCAGGAGGUGAGCACAGGUGUCUACAGGUGUACUUACCUGGCAAUUCCACCUUCUAUUGUCUGUAGCCUAGAAGCAAUAGUCUAUACCAUCUAGCCUAGGUAUAGUAGGUUAUAUCAUCUACCUCGGUAUAGUGGGCUAUACUGUCUAGGUCUAUGUAAGUAGACUCUAUGAUGUUUGCACAUUGACAAGAUCACCAAACAACACAAUUCUCUGAAUGCAUCCCUGUUGUUAAGCAACGCACAACCGUACUUAACAUGUGCCAUAUAAUCAAAGCGGCCAAAGAGAACCAACCCUAUUUUCACCAUCUGCUGUUGUGAAAUAAAACGGUCACCUGGAAACGUUUACAAUAUGAUGACUAAAUAUGCAUUCUGGGACCCUUUCUACAAAGAAAUGGGACGGGAACCUCCCACUCGGCCCUUGCCCUCCCAGAGGCACAUUGCCCAGGGAUUCCUUUGUCUCCUUGGGGCCUUGCCAAGUCUGAUGUGCCAGUCACCAAUCUAGGCCAAGUUCACACUUAUCUCUCCACUCCUACCGAGGUGAAAGGGCCCUGGUGAAGAAACAGUCAGGCACACAGCUCUGCUCCCAAUCCAAGACACGUGUUCAGCAGAAAGCUCUCUGCUGUACUCUGGUCGCUUGACCCCUGCCCACCCCCAGCACCCUGCCCUGGGAGCUCCAGUGCUUUCUCCAAACCUGACACUUGCCUCCAGCUCCAGUCUGAGCUUCUCCCUCUGCUGACCAUGCCCAUCUUGUCAUGGUUCCUCCCCAGAAGCACAGAAGACUUUCUCAUCUCUCAGGACAGCCAGCCCUCCUCUUAGGCAUUAGAUCCCAAGGGACUUCCCUUCCAUGACCAUUCCUUCUCUGCAUCUGUAUCCCAGCCCUUGCUAGAGCCGUGGCCCUUCUGUUCUCUUCAUUUCAGGCAUGGGCAUGGGGGGAAGGCCCUCUGAGCUGCUUCCCUCCUUCCUUCUCAGACAACCUUUGGCUCAAGUCAUCUCUACCCAUCCCUUUCCUCACACUCUUGCCUUCCUUACCCUCAGGCAAUCCGGCCCACACCUCCUCGCAUUCCUGGAGCUGCAAGCUCUCAAUUGUCAGCAGUAAUCUUUGGCCCCAUCCAGUAAUAAUCUUUUCUCACUUUUCAUUUCACAAUUUGGUAACACCCAUCAGCACCUCCACCCCUCGAAUGUCACCAAUUUUAUUUCUAUGGCAUUGCCCUCAUGGGUUUAUUCCUACCUGGGUAUUUCCCUUCUGCCUCCUUUACUGCUCCUCUUCUAAAAGCAGGAGCAGAAUGAUCCAUCUCCAAGGCUCAUAUUAAUCCUCAGCUUUGUAUUUUUCUCUUCAUUCUCCUGCUCUGAGAUAUCCCAUUGAUCCUCACUGCUGAUAGAACAAAGUUCAUUAUCCCGGCCUUUAAGGCCAUUAUCAUUGCACAUGACCCUGCCAGCCAGCUCUACCUCCCACUUUUCCCUUCUACUCCAGCCAGGCUGCUUGUCUCCAGCCUGGACCACAGAUGUGAAUGUUUUUGUCAACUCCAAGGCUCUACCUGGGCCACGUCCCUUCUACUUCCCUCCUCUCUACUCAAAUCCUACUCCCGUUCCAAAGUCUAGCUAAACUCUCAUCUUUUCCCCACUUGAAUUAUUAAUGCACAGAAAACAGAGAAGGUGUCUCAUACUCUUGCAUAUCCCAUCAGUUUAUGGUAUACAUAUGGAAGCCAAACGUAUAAAAACUCGUUCAGCCAAACAUACACAAACUCAUUUAGUACAUAUCUACUUAAUCUAUGCAUCCUUUUGUCUUGACCAUCACAGCAACAAGCACAAUGUGAUACAAUUCUGUUCAAUUAUUGCUUACUUUGCAAACAUUGGUAAUUAUAGUGUCUAUUGUCAUACAUUAUGGUUUUUAUCUCAUCGAUUUAGGUGUACGAAUUUCAUACUAAAUAGACCCAUUUGUUUCCUGCUACUUGUUGGCAGGGAUUGGGGUAAAGUGUCACAGCUCGUAGCAGUGUUUCACACUUGGCCUGAAGCAAACGACUUACGCUGUGGUUUAUCUGAGAUGACAUUAGGCGG
rnacentral:lncRNA from 1 species